rnacentral:rRNA from 1 species
CAGUCGCCGCGGUAAUACGUAGGUGGCAAGCGUUGUCCGGAUUUACUGGGCGUAAAGGGUGCGUAGGCGGAUUGUUAAGUCAGGGGUGAAAUCCCGAGGCUCAACCUCGGAACUGCCUUUGAUACUGGCGAUCUUGAGUCCGGGAGAGGUGAGUGGAACUGCGAGUGUAGAGGUGAAAUUCGUAGAUAUUCGCAAGAACACCGGUGGCGAAGGCGGCUCACUGGCCCGGAACUGACGCUGAGGCACGAAAGCGUGGGGAGCAAACAGGAUUAGAUACCCCCGUAGUCCCUGUCUCUUAUAC